rnacentral:SRP_RNA from 1 species
GCUGGACGUGGUGGCGUGUGCCUGUAAUCCAAGCUACUUGGGAGGCUGAGGCAGGAGAAUGGCUUGAACUCAAGAGGCAGAGCCAAGAUCGCACCACUGCACUCCAGCCUGGGCGACAGAGCGAGACUCCGUCUUGAAAAACAAAAACAAAACAAAAUGCUUUUUCAAAGUGUGUGGACCAGGAGGGAGGGAGAAGAGUAGAGUCAGAGACCUUGAGUUGACUUUUUUUUUUUUUUUUUGAGACGGACUCUUGCUCUGUCGCCCAGGCUGGAGUGCAGUGGCGUGAUCUUGGCUCUGCCUCUUGAGUUCAAGCCAUUCUCCUGCCUCA